rnacentral:rRNA from 1 species
AUGAUGUUUACCAAUGGGAUCGUCAAGUUGGAGGCCAGCUUGGACGACUGCGGUGUCCUCGUGUUCACUCCCCACUGGUUGUAUAUGCAAAGCAAGAUGGUCAUAGAGAACCACUACUGGCCGGGUCACGAAGAUCCAAAUGCCCAUGCCGUGUACAUUCUUGAGCUACGUGGCAAGCUUGUGGUGGCGACUAGGAGGACCUGGGGCCCAUCGCCGUGGUCGUUGAACAUCAGCGGCCCUUAUUUCUCAGUUUUUGAGCUCGUUGUUGAUGAUACUCAAGGAACAAUGCCACAUCGUAUGUACAAGUGGGAAGAGUUGACAAGCCUGGGUGACUAUGCUUUGUUUUUGAGUCCCAUGUGUGCCAAGGCGAUUCACGUGUCGACCGGUGAGCGUGACGGCCUGCGGAGAAACCACAUCUACUACUCCCAUCAUACAUCCUACAAACAUAUAUAA